UUUUGUUUUUGUAACUAUUUAAGUUCUUCAAACUAUAUCAUAUUUUUUCUUUUGUUUUUGUUCUACAAACUAAUCAUUCUCGACGGGAUGUGGUAGCUCGUUUGGUAAGGGCUUUGGGGGCCAAUUGUCAUGCUCCCGGGUUCGACGUCGGGCGGAAGGGAACUGUUCAUCCUGUCAUCAAAUGCGGUACUGGGGGUUGGGCCUUAUCCCCAGCCCAGGUAAAACCCUCCCGGGUGAAGUGGACCACUGCCUAACUGGGCCCAGGGGAAUGAUCCACCAUAACUAGGAUAAAACCAGUAUGACCCACUAUUUAUUUUAAUCCUUUACUCAUCACUUCACCAACUAUCACCUCCUUCCGUAAUCCUCAUCAACCUCCACUUCUCAAAUCUGAGUGACGGAGCAGUCAUCUCUUCCUCCACGUGGUCGGGACUGGAGUGUGUCCACCGGAAUUGUCAUGGCUUCAGUCACAGUUAGGAGAGAAAACGUGACGGAGCAGACGGAGAACUCCAUUCCGACAGAGCUCCACUACAAUCCGUCUCAAGAAGAGGUCGUUUCGUUCUUGUUGUGGUCGUCAUGAUCGGGACCGGAGUCGUGUUCGCCGGAAUCAUCACGGCUUUAGUCGCAGAUCAAUGACAAAGCUUGAUUUUCGCAACAAUGGCAGUUUUAGAUUAUUUGCACCUCUGGUCCUUCUAUUCUUGUUAAUUCUCAAAUUUGUCUCAAACUACUAAUUUGUUCAAAUUUCUUCAGAAUUAGCCUCAAAACUUAUUGUGCAAUCUAAACCAAGCAAAUGUUCUGAUUUUGCAACAUUGGUCCAUGUCAUGUUGUUUUAUUUUGUUUAUGUCUCAUAUGUCUCUGAUUUGCAAAUAAAUCCUUUCGAUUUGGA